rnacentral:rRNA from 1 species
UACGUAGGGGGCAAGCGUUGUCCGGAUUUAUUGGGCGUAAAGAGCGUGUAGGCGGCCAGACAGGUCCGUUGUGAAAACUCGAGGCUCAACCUCGAGAUGUCGAUGGAAACCGUCUGGCUAGAGUCCGGAAGAGGAGUGUGGAAUUCCUGGUGUAGCGGUGAAAAUGCGCAGAUAUCAGGAAGAACACCAAUGGCGAAAGCAGCUUUCUGGGACGGUACUGACGCUGAGACGCGAAAGCGUGGGGAGCGAACAGG